rnacentral:tRNA from 1 species
GGAGAGAUGGCUCAGUGGUUAAGAGCACUGGCUGCUUUUCCAGAGGACCUGGGUUCAACUCCCAGCAUCCA